rnacentral:rRNA from 1 species
UACGUAGGGUGCAAGCGUUAAUCGGAAUUACUGGGCGUAAAGCGUGCGCAGGCGGUUUUUGUAAGUCUGACGUGAAAAGCCCCCGGGCGUCAACCUACGGGUAAGUUAGUCGGUUGGUAGGACUGCAAGGCGUUGUAAUCUGGCGAGGAGGGGGGUAGGAAUUCCACGUGUAGCAGUGAAAUGCGUAGAGAUGUAGAGGAACACCGAUGGCGAAGGCAGCCCCGUCGGGUGAAGAUUGACGCUCAUGCACG